CGGGAUGUAGCGCAGCUUGGUAGCGCACUGCGUUCGGGACGCAGGGGCCGCAGGUUCAAAUCCUGUCAUCCCGA
rnacentral:tRNA from 1 species